AUUGAACGCUGGCGGCAGGCCUAACACAUGCAAGUCGAACGAGUGGCGGACGGGUGAGUAAUGCCUGGGACACUGGCUGAUGGAGGGGGAUAAAUACUGGAAAAGGAAGGUAAUACCGGAUACCAUCAGAAGUGCCCAGAUGGGAUUGGCUGGUUGGUGGGGUAACGGCUCACCAAGGGGACGAUCCCUAGCUGGGCUGAGAGGAUGACCAGCCACUCUGGACCUGAGACCCGGUCCGGCCCCCUCCGGGAGGCAGCGGUGGGGAAUCUUGCACAAUGGGCGCAAUCCGGAUGCAGCCAUGCCGCGUGUGUGAAGAAGGCCUUCGGGUUGUAAAGUCCUUUCAGCGGGGCGGCGUUACCCGCAGAAGAAGCACCGGCUAACUCCGUGCCAGCAGCCGCGGUAAUAC
rnacentral:rRNA from 1 species